rnacentral:rRNA from 1 species
CAGUCGCCGCGGGAAUACGAAGGGUGCAAGCGUUACUCGGAAUUACUGGGCGUAAAGCGUGCGUAGGUGGUUGUUUAAGUCUGCUGUGAAAGCCCUGGGCUCAACCUGGGAACUGCUUCUGAGACUGAACGACUAGAGUACGGUAGAGGGUGGUGGAAUUUCCGGUGUAGCGGUGAAAUGCGUAGAUAUCGGAAGGAACAUCAAUGGCGAAGGCAGCCACCUGGGCCUGUACUGACACUGAGACACGAAAGCGUGGGGAGCAAACAGGAUUAGAUACCCCUGUAGUCCCUGUCUCUUAUAC